GUGGCCGGCAAGCUGAUAAGCGCCGCCGGGUGAUACGGGAGUUGUCGCCUUAGACUGCAGGUCACCACCUCCUGGCUGGAGCCGGAGCUGCGUCACGUCUGGGGUUCGCUUACAGCCCAACCAAGUGGGUGUCUGUCAAGGACUGAUCUUCUGAAACAGCUGACAUCACUUUAUUCUUGCCCACAUGGACUAUAUCUUCUCUAUGGUAGCCUCAGUUGCUGGUCUUUUGGAGGAUCAACUUUCUUUAAUUCAUGAGGAAAAUCACUGGUUGAAGUCAUAUGCUACUGAAGUUCCUUAAGGGUGUGUGUGGGGGCGUUUAAAAAAAAUCUGGGAAGUUUCUAGACUUGAAGGUGGAGAAAGGAAACUAUUAGUUAAAGAGUGUGUGCUUCCAAUAAAGCCAGAAAGGUCAUAAUACAAACUCUUCCCUAGUAAGUCCACAAAGGGCUCCAGGCAUCUUGAUAACUGGACUUUUGCCUAGAGUGAUUAAUACUGGACUUAUAAUAAUCAGAACUAUAAAGUAAUAAAUUUGUGUUGCUUUGAUCCAUGGCCAUUUGCAAUAUCAGUAGCAGAAAAUUCCUUGUCUUCAUUGAGCUUAGGCUAUGCUAUAUGCUAAGUUUUUCUACCUUCUAUAAAACAAUGACUUUUCAGACUGUGCCUUGCCCCAAGGGACUCCACUUUACAGGCAGCAUUGAACUCCAUUUUGACGUUGAAGGAUGAUUGUACAUCAGGGUUGUUGCGGAAACAACACAAUCAAUCCAGCACCAUCCACAUAUCAUCGGCUGAUAAAUGACUUGUUCUUGUAAGUAGAAAGGGUGCCACCCUAUAAAUUUCUCAUAUUGAACUGAGAUUGUAGGGGCAUAUGGGCAUAUUACAAUCAUAUCAGAGAUACCAGGCCCCAAAACUUAUCUGACAUGCUGGACCAAGGAAAGGGUGUAACUUCUUCAUCUGGGCUCCAUAAACUGGUGAACAACUAGCAAGGUUAUCAAUGGCCUCACACCCAUCUGAUACCAGGUAAGUGUGUGUCAGGGACUAAUAGAACUCUUAAUUAUGCUGAUGUUUCAGCUCAGCUCUGUCCCUCUUUUGACAGACUAGAAGUCUGUCUGCGGCUUAUCUGCUCACCCAUUUGGACCUGGACCUACAGUUCCUGCUCUGAACCCAGUUCUGCCCUUCUGUCUCUGCAGCACGCUCCUUCCUCCAGCAGAUUUGGGUUCAUUAUCUUAUCAAUACAGAAAAUGUACCCAUCCCUCUCGAAUUCUGUUGCAACUUCUUUAGCUUGUAUUCAUUGUGUAACUCACAUUAAUUAAUUCCUACCCAUCCAUAUAUCUAUAUUUCCUGAGUGGUAUGUGUUAUAAGAGUUAAUAUUACUAAUUAAGAUUAGCAUAAAAGCAGCUUCAUUGACCCUGGUCAGAUUAUCAAGGUAGGUAGGACCUUUGGAAAAAGUGCUUCCAUUAAAACCACUACACCUUGUGAACAUAUUGUUAUUCAAUAAAUUCUGACGUUGUUUA